UGGGGAAUUUUCCGCAAUGGGCGAAAGCCUGACGGAGCAACGCCGCGUGAGGGAUGAAGGCCUCUGGGCUGUAAACCUCUUUUCUCAAGGAAGAAGAUCUGACGGUACUUGAGGAAUAAGCCACGGCUAAUUCCGUGCCAGCAGCCGCGGUAAUACGGGAGUGGCAAGCGUUAUCCGGAAUUAUUGGGCGUAAAGCGUCCGCAGGCGGCUUGGUAAGUCUGUCGUUAAAGCGUGGAGCUUAACUCCAUUUAAGCGAUGGAAACUGCCAGGCUUGAGUGUGGUAGGGGCAGAGGGAAUUCCCGGUGUAGCGGUGAAAUGCGUAGAUAUCGGGAAGAACACCAGUGGCGAAGGCGCUCUGCUGGGCCAUAACUGACGCUCAUGGACGAAAGCCAGGGGAGCGAAAGGGAUUAGAUACCCCUGUAGUC
rnacentral:rRNA from 1 species